rfam:Picea glauca, whole genome shotgun sequence.
ACAUGCCUAUAAAAUGAUGUUAAUUCACUGGAUCCCAUUAUAAAUUUGCAGUUAAGUGCACUCAGGAUAGAGUAGUACUUGGAUGGGUGACCACCUGGGAAGUCCUAGUGUUUUACAUGCC